UAUAUAAUAAGCUAAAUAAUAAGCUUGUAGGUUCAUACCCUAUCGAUAAAUUCUACAAUUUUUAUAUAA
rnacentral:tRNA from 1 species